rnacentral:rRNA from 1 species
GUCUGCAGCCAUGCCACCCUGAACAAGCCCGAUCCCAUCUGAUCUUGGAAACUAAGCAGGGUUGGGUCUGGUUAGUACUUGGAUGGGAGACCACCUAGGAAGACCAGGUGCUAUAGGCA